CGAACCCGUGGGAGCCUCCCCAACCCCGCAGUCCCAGCGGCAAACUGUGCUUGGUCGGACGGAUGCCCGCGCGGAGAUGUUUGUCAGCUCUCAGAGGCAGGCGGAGCCGGGAUCCCAUCCCCAGUGGCAGAUGAGAGGCCUGGAUGACCUGCGCAAGAGAUCCGUGCGUGGAGGUGCGGCCAGCAAGUCCCGGGCUAUGCUCCACGGUCGCUCCGGGGUCUGCACAUCACCUGCCCGGGUGGCAACCGGUUGAAGGCUUCCAAAUGUCCGACACCCCUCUCGAUCCUCCAAUCCCAGCUCCCCACCUGCCCAUCACCCCAUCACUAGGAAAGGAG
rnacentral:lncRNA from 1 species